rnacentral:lncRNA from 1 species
GCAGUUGAUGAGUUGUACAUUUUAGUUUUCGAUGGAUUUGUUUGGGGGGAGAAUAUCAUGCAUUUGUGAAGUUUCUAAUGCCACAAAAUCUGCUAAAACUGUGAGAAUUUAUAUGGUCUAAUUUGAAGAGUAAAAGAAAACACAAUGAACAUGACUUGACACUAUCGCCUGGCAACCGAUGAUCCUCUCUAAGAAACAAAAGUCGACCUUGAUGAACUAAGUACUCUGUGCUUGAUUCAGAAGAAGAAGAAGAAGAACUAAAUACUGGUUUCUUAAUGCAUAUUAUGCAAACUAUAAGAAGAGGCUAAAAAGGUCUAAUGAUUUUGGAUCGACAUUUGAUACCCGAACCGUGCUACUUGGUAGCACUGGUUUCAUUAGCUUGAAAUCUUUUGCC